GACGAACCGAGCGAACGUUAUUCGGAAUCACUGGGCUUAAAGGGCGCGUAGGCGGGCCAUCAAGUCAGGGGUGAAAGCCCCCAGCUCAACUGGGGAAGUGCCUUUGAUACUGGUGGUCUCGAGGGGGAUAGGGGCAUGCGGAACUUCCGGUGGAGCGGUGAAAUGCGUAGAUAUCGGAAGGAACACCGGUGGCGAAAGCGGCGUGCUGGAUCCCUUCUGACGCUGAGGAGCGAAAGCGUGGGGAGCGAACAGG
rnacentral:rRNA from 1 species